AGCAGCCGCGGUAAUUCCAGCUCCAAUAGCGUAUAUUAAAGUUGUUGCAGUUAAAAAGCUCGUAGUUGAAUUUCGGGGUUCUACCGUUGGUCGGGCUUUGUCUGUACUGGCGUGUGGAAUUUCUACCUUCUGGGGAACCAUCAUGUUAUUAAUUUAGCGUGGUGGGAAACCAGGACCUUUACCUUGAAAAAAUUAGAGUGUUCAAAGCAGGCUUAUGUCUGAAUACAUUAGCAUGGAAUAAUAAAAUAGGACGGUGGUCCUGUUUUGUUGGUUUCUGAAUCACCGUAAUGAUUAAUAGGGAUAGUUGGGGGCAUUAGUAUUCAAUUGUCAGAGGUGAAAUUCUUGGAUUUAUUGAAGACUAACUUCUGCGAAAGCAUUUGCCAAGGAUGUUUUCAUUAAUCAAGAACGAAAGUUAGGGGAUCGAAGACGAUCAGAUACCGUCGUAGUCUUAACCAUAAACUAUGCCGACUAGGGAUCGGACGAUGUUAAUUUUUCUUGACUCGUUCGGCGCCUUACGG
rnacentral:rRNA from 1 species